ACGGGAGCGCGGUGGGGGGUUACGGGGGGUGAGAGGCGUGGGGAGGCUUUGGAGGGGGGCCACCUUCUGCAGUUGUCACCGCGUCAGCUCUGGGCAUCUGCCAGAGCACCCCUCCAAGCAACUUCUUCCCACAGCCCCCUCUGAUGGACCCCAACUCUCCCCACGCUUCGCCCGUCCAGCGGGGCACAAAGAAAUCCCAGUCUCUUGGUAAACUUUGUGCUUCCAGUUAUGCCGCCCCCUCCCCUAGCCUCCACCCCCGCCCUUCCAGCUUCUUGGCAGGAAGGUUAGGCCCCUGGCAAAAUCCUCGGCGAGAGGCAGCUGAUCACAAAUGCCAACUGUGUGUCUUGGGGCCAGUUAAGCCCUCUCAUCUGCCCGGGCUCUCUGGAGACCAUUUCAUUGCUGUCAAGGUUCCCAGGAGACCGCUGCGGCCAUGGACCAUCCCCCACUUAGCCCGUACGGAUGGGAUGCUGAGCGGCGUCCUCAAAGUGCUCUUUCUCAUCUAGAGUUUUCAUUGUAGAUUGUAAAAAUUCCGAAUUUGGAAACAGGCAGAUAUUUUUCCUCAUAUCAAAAAGGAGGAUCAUUAGCUAGGUGAUUAGCCCUAGGUGGGAAAUGAACCGUCUCUAAUCAGAAUACUAAGUUUUUGAGGAAGUCUGUGGAAGUUCUGAAGUCCCACCCCAUCCCAUGACCUUUAAUUCUUUUUAGUUCUUCUGCCACAGGGAAGCAGCCAGCGACUAAUAAAAGAUUUGAUCUUGCCAUAAUUUCCCAAGCAGGACAUCUUCUGGAAGGUGUAAAGAGUUGCCCUGUGAAAGGUAUGGCUGAGAGAAUCUUAAUACAGAGCUGAAGACCAAUUGUGAAUUUUAUUACAUUACCAUUAGUACUAUUACCAUAUGAGGUUGUAAGAAUACAUGGUCCUUUGCAGUGGAAAAUGCACUAAAUGACAAAGUCCCUCCCCUGAAGAACCAACAAAUUAAAGCCUGGAACCACCGAGGAAAAGGUGCUGUUUUUCUGCUGGGCUACACUGGGAGGAUGCAAAUCCUGAUAUGCAAAUCUGCUGUUGGCCAUCCUUGUUGGAAGAAACUCUUUAAGAACGCUGCCAACACAAAGGACUAAUUUUGUCUCACCUUAGGAUCUGAUUUUUGGGAAAUCCAAACUAAGAUACCCAUCAGCAUUCAAUAUUACUUUGUUUUGGAUCCAUCAACAUUAUCUUUGUGUCUCCAUAAACAUUGGAGUCAUUUCUGUUAUAUCUCACUUUCAUCUAUUUGGCCAAGCUAACACUUAUGCUCCUUUGUAGUCUUAGUAUAGAUGUCAUUUUUCACAGGAAGACCAUUUACUUCCCAGUCUGAAUGAGAUACUUCUCCUUUGCUACCAUAACACCUUUUUUGUCUGCAUAAUAUCACUUGUUGCAUUGUAUUACAUUGACAAUUUAGUUACAUAAAAUCCAAUCCUCGCCAUCCAAUACACCUGUCCCAGUACACCUAACUAGAUAGAGAGGUUGGUGAGGGCAAGAAACAUCUUGUUCAGAGUCAUGUCCUCCCCAGGGCUGGACACAUAGAGGGUCUUAAUAUAAUUAUUGAAAGAAAAAGUGAGUUCAGAAAUAACCUGAAUUCAGGAAUUCAGGAACUCUUGCCAUUCUCAGUCCCCAUCCACAUAGUCACAGGUACGGGAGAUGGCAGCCAUAUCUAUACAGCAUAACUCCAUGCUCCUAUUUGCGGAUACUUGGACCACAAGGGAGUCCCUGACUCAAAUAUGACCAAAUUCCUCCCUUAGAAAUCUAGAGUUAGUUUCAAGAGUUUCAUCCUUACAUUGGCUGAUCUAGUGAAUGAAGAAGUAAAACCUGUGGCAUUAUGGUAUGCUUACCACCACGUGAACAGAGUAGCUGUGAUAGUUUUUCUGCAGAGAGAAAAGUAAAUAAAACAAAUGUCCUGAGACAAGCAGAGAUGGGAAUAUGAAAUGGAAUCCCACAUCUUGCUCCAGCACCUUCAUGACUGCAGAAGCAUUUCUACCCUUACUUACGAUUUCUUAAAAUGAAUUCCUCCCAACCUUUUCUUUUUUCAAUUAUUUUUGUCCUAAAUUAGCAUUAGUUGAUUCCUGUUACAUUCAAGCCAAAAGACUAAAUAAACUAAGACAGAAAUUAACCAUCUAUGACUCCAGUUUGCUUGACUGAAUAUUUGAAUAUUUAGAAAUAGCAGUUUAACUGAAUUCUCAACUUUC